UCCCCCCACCAAGAUCAAGCACUAGAGCUACCUACGUGGUUCAGAUUCCAGAGAGCCAGCGUGCACGGCACUCUGUUCUCUUCGGCUAGCUCCACUUCCACCAUCAUGGCCAACUUCGCCGCCCAGCUCAAGGAUAGGUUUUUCGGCCUUGUCGACCGCGUCGCCGGCUGCGGCCGUACUGGGGUCAAGGCGGAGGCCCCCAAGUCGGCGCCGGUGCCGGCCGUGCAGGAGCACGUCGAGAUUCGACCGAGAGGCCCCAAUGUGUCAGGAGGAUCGGAGGCAGGAGUCAAUUAGACACCGCGGAUGCUACUCGUUUGUUACUGUCUGCUUAUGUCUGCAGUGUUAUCGCUUCGUUUGAGAUUCACGUGGCUUCCUUUGUUCUGAAAGUUGAAACAGAUGAUUUUCUUGUCGGUGUGCUUGUGCGUGCCUGGGUGUGUUUUCAAUAUUCAACAACUUUUUUUUUCAUGCCUCGUGACUGAAGUAUUAAGCUUAAUGAUUUCAUUGUAAUAUGUAUAUUUGAUGAGGCAGUAAUAAAUUUGAUUGAAAUUUCAAA